UACCGUCUAACCUGGGGAGUGCUGCAGAGGCCGGUGACCUUGUCCACCCAGGCUUUUGCUCUGCAGACCCUUUCCGUAAGCGACUGUUUAUGUGGGGAAGUGUGGAUAGUCCUCGACUAGGUGGCUGGUUUGCACUUCAGUUCCACUAGAGGAAAAAUUAUUGUUCGGUUUUCUUUUCCCUUAGAAGUAAGGAGCUAAAAAUUAGUUCGAGCAUACUCGGAGCCCAGUAUCUGGUGCGGUACGCUAUGUGGCUUGUUGCAUUGUGUCCUUUUGUUGUCUAGAAAUGCCACUGGAGACUUUCUGUAAAGCUGGUAAAAUGAACUGUUACAGAUGUUUCUGCUGUGACUGCGAACUGCUCUUACUGAGUAGCUCAAUGGCCCUGACUGGAGAGAUGAGACAACACGGAGAAAAGAGCUGUAGGCAGAGACUUUGUAAAGAGGCUGACCUGGAUAAUAUGAUGUGACUUCUCUUAUGCCAGCUGCUGUGACAGCGGGCUUCUCCUGUAGCAGUACAACUGUUGACCAGUAAGAGAUCUGCGAACAUCAGAGUCUGAGAGAUGGGGAGAAAGAGUUUCAAUUUGAUCGGUAAAAGGCACAGAAUGCUUUCAUCCUUUUGAUGCUGGAAAUGCCUCUCUGGACGUAUGCUGAGCUCUCACUGCUAUGGACUGUGCGGUCUUAAUUACUGCAGGUUCCUGUUCUCACUGGAGAAUUGGAAAUGAUUAUUAAUUAGACCACAGACGUGUUCUCUGAAACCUUUCCCUUUUUUCAGCCUUUAAUUGUAGAUCUUCUCUUUCUGCCUUUGAAUUUACAGUGAUUCUCUGAUGUCGUUCACCUACCCAAAUUCCUUGCAGCUCCUGGGGUAGAGAAAAGCUUCUGUGGCUGAGGUUCAGUGGGAAAAUGAUACUGUGCGUUCCACCUCCUUAAUAAAAGUAACUGCUCUUUAUAUCUUAAAGCGUAGACUUAGUUGAUCCUUUUUCGACAGAAAGUGGCAGGCUGAACUCAGCUGAAUUACUGAACCAUACUUUGGAUAGUUGAAUUUUUUAAAAGAAAAAAAAAAACCAAACCCAAACCCAGGCUUUUUGUCUGUGGGUUUCAUUGGUAUUGCUCCUUAAUUGAGCCACACCUUUAAAUUAUGACGUGGGCGCUUUCUAGAAACAGUGUUCGGUACAUUUUGCACUUUCUCAUGGGACCUCCGGGCUCAUGUUUUUCCAUUGCUGAGUUAAUUACGGGUCCAAGCAGACAGCGUCCCGUGCAUCUGGUGCUCAUUGAUCUGUUUGUGAUAUUCAUUUCAUUUGGAUGCAGAGUUGGGCUUUUGGGGCAGAUGAUGCCCCUCAAGCCAUGAGGCUUGUUUAAACCUUGUACUCUACAUUUUGAAGAUCCAGGAUGGGUGAGGCCUUCGUCUUGUUGCUGUAUUAGGGAAUAGCAUUCAGGAAGUUCCUACAAUAUUCACAUUGAAGUUGCAGUGUUUGAGGAUAUCGGUGUGAUGGUUCUCAGGAAUGAAUCUUGCUCCCAGCAGUCUGUAGCAUGGUAGCGUAGGACCCAAAAAAGUAGGGUGUGAGGGUCAGGGUGGAUAGGAACACUUCCCCCACCAGAGAGAGUAUAUCUAAAGCAGAGAGUCAGAACCCAGAAGUGAUGACCGAUUGCCCCACCGCCAGACACCAUAAACCAGAAGCAAUGAAUUGUAACCCCAGAGGGACUGCCAAUACUCCCACAACCAGACAGAGCAAUCUGCGACAGCUGCAGAAAGCAUCUUUAAGAUCUAUCUCUGAAAACCAAAUAAAAUCACCUCAGAGUUUAGUUAGCAAGGUAUAGGGGUUUGGAACUACUAGGUGAAUACUUUUUCCAUUAAUUUGCCAUAAAUUUUGCUGAAAGUUCAAAUAGGUUUCUUUACUGGUAAUAUAGGAGUAUUAAAUUCUGAUUCACAUUCUUUCAGCAAUCCUAAUGUCCGGAAUUUAUUGGUUAUUUGCUCUAUUCCUUUUCUGUCUUCCAACCCUAAAGGGUAUUGCUUUCUGACUGGCCUAACUCCUGUCUGUAGUUCAAUUUUAAAAGGGUGUGCCCAUUUUGAUCUUGACUGGUUAUCAGUAUCACAUACUUCUGGGUACAUCUGAUUCAGUAUUUGCUCUAAAUAGUUACUGUUGUUUGUUGGUCUUGUGUCAAUUUUCAGUCAUAAUGCUAAAAUCAAUUUGUCUUCAGGUACCCUAAAUUUAAUGUUUCCUUCCCCAAGCUCAAUUGUGGCUUUUAAAUUUUUAAGCAAAUCCCUGCCUAGCAGAGAUUUGGGUGAAUUAGGUAAAUAAAGAAACUGGUGUAUUCCCAUCGUCUCCCUGAUUUUAUAUUUAAGUAGAUUCAGGAAGAACUCAUUUUCUGGCUGGUCAGUGGCUCUUAAUACUUGAAUGUUAUUUUCAUUUUUAGGUAUCAAUGCUUGAUUUAAGACUGAAAGUGUGGCUCCAGUAUCUACUAAAAAUUCAACUCCUUUAUCAUUCCAUGGCUGUAUUUUAACCAGCGGGUCUGCUGCGGUAAGAUCAGGUGGUCCCCCUGGUGGUCAUUGUAAUCUAGAGCGGCUGCAAUAGUUUCUUGUACUUCGUCUGCUAACUACGGGCACUGGCGUUUCCAGUGUCCUUCUUUCUUACAGUAUGCACGUUGAUUCGGCCUCGACUUAAUCUGUGGCUGAUUUGAACCUCCUCUGCCUCUGGUAUUUCUGCCUCUGCCUCACCCACACCCUCACGCCGGUGCUGAUCCAGAGCUGCCAGUAUGACUGCAGCGAGUUCUUUCCUCUUUUCUUGAUCCCUAUUAUUGUACACCCUCUAUGCUUCUCCCAUUAAUGCCUCUAAUCUGUUUACAGGCUUCUUCAGCUUCUGAAGUUUCUGCCCAAUAUCUGGGCUAGAUUGCUCUAGCAUCAGGGAAACUAACCGUUGCUUUCCCAUAUCUGACAGGGGAUCUAGGGUUGCUAAUUUACGCAUCGCUGCUUGGAGCCUGUCCACAAAGUCAGUGGGUGACUUAUGCGGUCCAUGUUUAACUGACCAAUUAACUGCUUUUGGAAUGGCAUUUUCUAAUCCAAAUUUGACUAGUUCCCGGCACUUAGUUAACAUUGUAUAGCUGCCUGCAUCGUUUAGGUCCGACAAAGGUUUUACAAUAGGAAACAGCUGGUUCACUGUACCUUGGUAAGGCUCCACUAGCAAUUUGUCCCUGCAUGUGUGCUCUGGCCGUGUUUGUCACUAACUCUUCUUCUGUUUCUGUUAGGUCUGUCAGCAUUAAAUCAAUGUCACCCCAAUCUGGGUUUUGAUUCCUGACCAUGAACUCCAUCCUUUUUGCUACUUUGCUAAGGUCUCUUCUAUAUUUCCUAACUUCUCCUGGCCAGCUGUUCGGGUCACUAGUAGAAAAGGGGACCUUUACCUGCACAGCUUCUCCUGUGGGACCCACCGCUUGCCUUAAGGGGGCUACCAGUGGCAAAGCUUUCCUGGUUUUACUCUUUGUACAUGCUGUCACCAGGGUCCCUGAACUUGUCCGCUCACCGGGGUCAUCCAUCUCAUCCUCACUACCACUCGGGCUUAAUUGAGGAGGAGGAGCAGCCGGUGGGGAGCAUACAGCUGGCCUGGUAAGUAAGUUUCAGACACCUAUAACACUGUCUUCCUCAUGCUUUUCUGCCUACUUCAAACAUCUCUGCCCUAUGUUACAUACUGAACAACAUCUCUAUUUUCCACCUGAUCUCUCUUUCCACGGCACGGACCAAAGGGUCUUGUGGGGCCAAAUUGAUGCCGCAUUCCUUCUGCCACUCAGGUUUAAUUUAAAAUUCCAUUAGAGAGCUGCUUUUCACCACUUUCCACUUUAUACGAAGGCCACCACUGGAUUACCUGUCUUCAGAUUACCCCUUGGGAUUCCUCCCAGAUUUUUCCAAUGUGCUAAAAUACAUCCCAGCAGACUUUUUAAAAUAACAUUUUUACUUCCUGUGUUAACCCAUUUUAAAUGCUAUCCAAAUUUCCACACUUGUCAUUAUGUAUUAGUACUUCUCCUUUCUUUAUCUUUAUUCCCCAUGGACUACACUUAACACACACUGGGCAUCUCCGAGUCACCUGGCACCACUGUUCUCUUCUACAGUACUGACAAGCAACGUAAACAAAAGGAUUUUUUGUUUACAAAAACAGUUCCACAGAAUACAUGAGGAAUUGGGGUAUGAUAGGACAUAAAAUGAGUUUCCUAAAACACACAAGGGAAACAACUAAUACUCUUACAACACAAAAAAUACGGAAUAACAAAUACCACAGUCAAAACCCAAAAUGCCAAGGUCAAUACCAAAAGUCAUCAGUCAAAAGACUUCUUCUGGGGACUCUAAGGCCUUGCAUCAACUUCAGGAAUUUCACCUGUAAUACAGCACCCUGUGUGGAACGUCUUACAGGAGCUACUUAACCAAGACCUGAAACA